UACGUAGGGUCCGAGCGUUGUCCGGAAUCACUGGGCGUAAAGGGCGCGUAGGUGGCGGGCCAAGUCAGUGGUGAAAGCUCGAUGCUCAACAUCGAGUCGGCCACUGAUACUGGUUUGCUUGAGCACUGUAGAGGCAGAUGGAAUUCCGGGUGUAGCGGUGGAAUGCGUAGAGAUCCGGAAGAACACCGGUGGCGAAGGCGGUCUGCUGGGCAGUUGCUGACACUGAGGCGCGACAGCGUGGGGAGCAAACAGG
rnacentral:rRNA from 1 species